GCGGCCCAAACCCAGUCCCCACCCCCCUAUUCCUCUCCCUCUCCCUCUCCCUCAUCUGCCGCCGCCACCGGCGCCCUCCGCGCAGCAACCACCGCCACCACUUCACCCAGGUGUGGCGCUGCUCUUCCCCACGACCCUGACGGCAAGGCAGCGACAAGAGCAUCAGAGCCACUUUUGGCCUCCCCACGCUGGCCUGCGCAUCUCCGCCCCCCGCUUUGCCUCCUCCACCACCGGCUCCUAGCGAGGCGGGAACGAAGCCAACAUCGCCCUCCCAGCGCCCUUGAUUCGGAGGCAACAGAGGAUAGCCCGCGGGCGAGCUCAAGCUGGAGGCAGUGCUGCAUUGACAUAUCCAACCAUCCUAUAUGUCCACUUUUGGUCCAUUAUUUCUGUACACCAGUCAUUUGAUGAAUUGCUAUAAGAAACUGUAUGAAGUGUUUUGCUGUAUGUUUGAAGCAGGUAAGGCAUGAUGUAGCUAUACUUUUGAAAAUCACUCAUGAUUGUCCCGAGUCCCUGGCAAUGAAUCAUGUGGUGAUGCAAAUUUCUGCUGUCCCUGCCAUUCACACUGACGAAAGCUUGUUGGAGUGUCUUCAACCUUGUCGAUGUUCAGUGAGCGAAAAUUUGGAUUCCUCCAUUCUCGUGCAUACCACCUUGCAGAAUUGAAUAGUGAUUCCCGGUCUCCACUUCAGAUCUAUUAUAUGGAUGCAGAACAUAUGCCAAGAUGUUUAAAGUAUUGUGGUUGCGCCAUAGAAGUCUUUCUUGCUGUGAACCUAAUUUGGAAUCCAGUGUUUCUGUCUCUAUUUGCUUGUUCUAAAUUCGAGAGUCUUUUGAAUUUCAGAGUAUCGAUCAAUCAUUUAAAGCAGUGAUUACAUACUUAUCCAGAAAGUGGUACUCUCGUUCUGCCUUAUUUUGGAGGAACAUAAGGCAAGUUUCUAUUAAUACCCUCCAACUAAUGGCAAGAAGUUUUGAUCAGUUUCAUAAACUCCCUAUAUUUCUAGCUCCAGACCAUGAUUUUCUGUGCUCAUAUUUUUUAUGUAUUGUUUAUUAGUCAUACAUACAUUCUACUCACUAGGGUUUGAUCUUUUCUUCCCUUAUAUGAAUGAAAGGUCAGAUCGAAUUGGGAUGACUUUCUCCACGUCAUUAAGGAUCUUCUAUUACCAAGCAUGGGUCAUCUUCUUUUGACAAUUGGUAAUGUUUGCACUUCGCAGUAAAUUGGGCAUAUUCACUGGUUCUUCCUCCUACAAUGGUGCAUGUACAAAUUUUAAUAAUUCUGUGUGCUAGCCAGUAAACUUCCAGUGUUUACUUUCUCAGACUUCUCACUAGCUUAUGUUGUCUGUUACAUUGAAGCGGUUUGAAAAAGCAAGCAAAUUGUUCGAGCCUACCUAUUUAUAUGGUGUGGAGAAGGUAAGGUUCUUGGCUUAUUGAUAUCAUCUGGUCAUUUUUAUUGAUGCGGGACUACUUAAUGAACUUCCUAGCUCUGGCAGUGACAGCAAGAAAAUAAGCUUCUUUAAUGAGGUGUGUCUUCUGUUGUAUCCUUGAAAUAUUUCACGACAUACGUUGAAUGGAUGAUAGAUCUCAUAAUUGCAAGGGAUAUUUACUAACAAACUACCAAAAAUAUAUAGUUGCUUUAUUGUGACAAUUUUUUAUAUAAAAGGCACAUGUGAGCUUGGUUAGUAGUUUUCUGUUGGAAGUCCAUGGGAUUUCAUAUGCACAAGUAGAUGUAUUGUUUCUUUCAUAUGCAUGAACUAUCCAGAAUACUGGAUUAUUCUCUUUGUUUCAAGUUUGCUGUUCUUUUCGAGAUUAAACCCAUGGUGAACAAUUGGGAUUAUAUAUAACCGAAAUAGGUUUGAUUCGCAAACACUGAAGCAUGUUUGGUUUCAAAUGUGUCUUUGCUUAGUGCAGGUCUUACAAAUUAGUUCUGAAAGUAGGCUUCAAUCCACCAAGAUCUCGAUGGAGCUCGAACAUUGAUGUAACUUGUCUCUUGAUAUAAUGUGAGACGAAUAUCAAAUCUUAAAUUGUAGUGCAAGCAUGUAUCAUCUACAAAUACUAUGUGGUAGAAAUAAUGAUGAGAGGAUGUCUAUUGUGCUUCUUUUAUGUUGCAAUGGAACUUCUAUUUCUAUCUAUGUACUCCAGAUAGCCUCCACUGUACCUAUCACUUGUGACCGAGGACAAUUCCACGUGUACUAAAAUUUCUUGUGCUAUCACUUAGAUUUGUGUUCCGUGCCACUCUAAUCUUCUACCUAUGCAAUCUCAGCAGCUUCUCAUGUAUGAAUAAUUACUUGCAUAUACUGUUUAGAUCUUAUGGUCAAGUUGGUUAUACAUUUUGGUUUGACAAGUGGUGCGGCGCUUUUCCAAUCUAACGGAAAAUCAUGUAUAUGUAACCAACAAGAACAAAUUAUCUCCUGGAAGAAACUUUUUUCUUACCUGUAGUUGUUUUGUUUAUAGAAAUAAUGCAUUUACCAUUUGUCGUAACAAACAUUUUUAUUUUUUGGUAUGCAUGGUUUCAGCCUUUGGUGCUCAAUUCUGUAAUUGAUAAUUCGCAUAAUAUAUAGAAAUUUUCCUAAAAAGUUUUCAGAUGUUAUUAUAAAUCUUAAACCUACUAUCCUCUGUUGAUUGCUCUGCGGUGUAUUACUGAUUUUGCAUGUUGCAAGGAGCAGGAACCGACGCUGUCUAGGAGGUAGCCGAAGAGGGGUUCAUCUGCGUGUUUGCUUUGUUUCCUGAUGGCUACCAUGAGGUUGGUGUUAAGUGAGCACGAAGUUGUCAUCAUUCGUGAAUCAUCUGUUUCGUCUUCGUUUCGUCCAGCUUGACCUUCAUCCGUCGUCAAGGUAGGAUUCCUCAUGUGUUCAUCCAUAUAUAUAUAAAGCACACUCAUGGUGUCGUGGCUCGUGCGUGACCUACCACUGGAGGUACACAAAGUUCCUCAGCCUGAAUCGAGAUGCCACUGCUGAACAAUUGGCUCAUGACACCCUUGUCUGUGAGAUUUCUGAAGAUCAUUUGCCCAUAAAGAUUUCUGAAUGUCUUUGAAUAUUGAGUUUCUUAAAGCUUUGUUCUGCCUGUGUAUAGAACACAUGAAGUGAGAGUCUCUGAUCAAGGAGUAGGCUAUUCUGCAGGACAAGAGGCUGCUUGAAUGUGACUAAUUGCAGAAGAAUUUUGGAUAGGAUUAGUGCUCGGCAAUUGGUAUUACCAGGCUGGCGAGCGCAGAUUUCAGCCUCUUUGUUGAGGCUUGCGGUGGUUAGUCUGGGAUGAGCUCCAGGGAUGGGUCAUUUCAUAUCUGUCCUUUUCUUUGAUUUCUUUUUGGUUCCUGCUCUGUAAGGUGAUUCUCGACUGAAAUUACCAAUGAAGGUAAUUAUGGUCUACCACAACUAUCAAUCCAUAUUUUAACUUGGAGUUGAACACCUGCACAAUAGUAUAAAGUUUCCACGUUCUGGUUGUAAUAGGAUAUAUCAGGGCAUUUUGAAAAGCCAAUCCAUUAUCAUGGUACCAUGGAACAAACAAAUAGCUACCUCACUUUUUGGUCUUUUCAUGAAAGCUUUGGGUUGGGAGGUGUGUUGCAUCCAAGUUGUAUUUCUUCAUUGAUUCUCAUCUCAGUUUCUCUCUGCUUAAUGUGUGGGAAUUAGACAACAUGUGCUGAAAAUGAUUGCUGGUCAAUCUAGCAUGGAAUUGUGUGUAACUUAACAUUAUAGUUACAUCAAUGGUCUUUUAUUUUGUACUUGUCAUACAGUUUGUAUCAACCUACAUCCUGCUACUUUGAUGUACAAAUACAUUUCCAUAGUUUUUAGCUCACGUUGUAUACUGGUAAUUUGAUUGCUCUGAUAUUGUUUCAGGAUAAACAACCCUGUAGAGCUUGCGGCUGUAGGUGUAUAUAUUGUUGUGUAUAGUAAGUUUUUGAGUCUGAACAUUUUCCGCUGCAAACGCUGGGGAGUGUCUCAAUUAUCGAAAACAUGAAAGUCUGUUGCUAAAUAGGUUAUAUUUGCUUUCUGUAGCCAUCAUAUGAAAAAUGUAUUAAAGAACUGAGCAUUAUUUCUUAUGGAAUGGCAUAUUGUUAUUCAUGUGUA